AUUGAACGCUGGCGGCAGGCCUAACACAUGCAAGUCGAGCGGAUGAAGGUAGCUUGCUCCUGGAUUCAGCGGCGGACGGGUGAGUAAUGCCUAUGAAUCUGCCUGGUAGUGGGGUAUAACGUCCGUAAACGGGCGCUAAUACCGCAUACUUCCUGAGGGAGAAAGUGGGGGAUCUUCGGACCUCACGCUAUCAGAUGAGCCUAGGUCGGAUUAGCUAGUUGGUGGGGUAAAGGCCUACCAAGGCAACGAUCCGUAACUGGUAUGAGAGGAUGAUCAGUCACACUGGAACUGAGAAACGGUCCAGACUCCUAAGGGAGGCAGCAGUGGGGAAUAUUGGACAAUGGGCGAAAGCCUGAUCCAGCCAUGCCGCGUGUGUGAAGAAGGUCUUCGGAUUGUAAAGCACUUUAAGUUGGGAGGAAGGGCAGUAAGUUAAUACCUUGCUGUUUUGACGUUACCAACAGAAUAAGCACCGGCUAACUUCGUG
rnacentral:rRNA from 1 species